rnacentral:rRNA from 1 species
AACGAACGCUGGCGGCAUGCCUAACACAUGCAAGUCGAACGAGACCUUCGGGUCUAGUGGCGCACGGGUGCGUGACGCGUGGGAGCCUGCCCUUAGGUUCGGAAUAACUCACCGAAAGGGGUGCUAAUACCGGAUAAUGUCUUCGGACCAAAGAUUUAUCGCCUUUGGAUGGGCCCGCGUGGGUUUAGCUAGUUGGUAGGGUAAAAGCCUACCAAGGCGACGAUCCAUAGCUGGUCAGAGAGGAUGAUCAGCCACACUGGGACUGAGACACGGCCCAGACUCCUACGGGAGGCAGCAGUGGGGAAUAUUGGACAAUGGGCGAAAGCCUGAUCCAGCAAUGCCGCGUGAGUGAUGAAGGCCUUAGGGUUGUAAAGCUCUUUUACCCGGGAUGAUAAUGACAGUACCGGGAGAAUAAGCUCCGGCUAACUCCGUG